GUGAAAAAUGGUCAUAAGUCACUUUUUCAGUGCUGUUGUAACUUCAAAUGGUUUAAAAUGAACCUUUGUAAAUCGAAGACUACCUGUAU